rnacentral:rRNA from 1 species
AUAACGGUCCUAAGGUAGCGAAAUUCCUUGUCAGGUAAGUUCUGACCCGCACGAAUGGCGUAAUGAUUUGGGCACUGUCUCAACAGCCCGCCCGGCGAAAUUGUAGUACUGGUGAAGAUGCCAGUUACCCGCAACUAGACGGAAAGACCCCAUGGAGCUUUACUGCAGUUUAAUACUGGGAAUCGGUAAUUCAUGUACAGGAUAGGUGGGAGACUUGGAAGCACGGUCGUCAGGUCGUGUGGAGUCACCGGUGGGAUACCACUCUUGGAUUGCUGGUUUCCUAACCUGCGGCCCUGAAUCGGGUCGGGGGACACUGUUAGACGGGCAGUUUGACUGGGGCGGUCGCCUCCAAAAGAGUAACGGAGGCGCUCAAAGGUUCGUUCAGCACGGACGGAAAUCGUGCAUUGAGUGUAAACGCAUAAACGAGCCUAACUGCGAGACCGACGGGUCGAGCAGUAACGAAAGUUGGAGUUAGUGAUCCGGUGGUAUGUGAGUGGAAAUGCCAUCGCUCAACGGAUAAAAGUUACCCUGGGGAUAACAGGCUGAUCUCCCCCAAGAGUCCACAUCGACGGGGAGGUUUGGCACCUCGAUGUCGGCUCAUCGCAUCCUGGGGCUGAAUUCGGUCCCAAGGGUUUGGCUGUUCGCCAAUUAAAGCGGCACGCGAGCUGGGUUCAGAACGUCGUGAGACAGUUCGGUCCCUAUCUGUUGCGGGCGCAGGAGAUUUGAAGGGAGCUGUCCUUAGUACGAGAGGACCGGGAUGGACAGACCUCUGGUGCACCAGUUGUCCUGCCAAGGGCACAGCUGGGUAGCUACGUCUGGACGAGAUAAACGCUGAAAGCAUCUAAGCGUGAAACUCCCCCUAAGAUAAGAUCUCUCAUCCAUUAUGGAGUAAGGCUCGACGUAGACUAUGUCGUUGAUAGGUCGGAGGUGGAAGUGCCGUGAGGCAUGGAGCUGACCGAUACUAAUAAGCCGAGGGCUUGACCUA